rnacentral:lncRNA from 1 species
GGGGAUAUCCACAAGUAAUCUAGGUCUAAGCACCACGCUUACACCUAUACUACAACUCUAACCUAUAGGGUCCUAUAGAUUAGAAGUACUCAAAAGAGUUGUGAACCAGAACAUACAUGAUUAGUAAUUGCAUAAUGAAUUAGAAGUAGAUUACCAGAGUCAUCCCAUGAGCAAGCUUGAUUAGAGCUUGAUCAUGGCAAAGUACAACCGGAGGAAGAACCGACAGGCCGGCCUCUCCUCUAAUCCUCCUUCGCUCUCCAUCUCGCUACUAUCUAGAUCUACUCUAGUUUAGAGAAGAGAGGAGAGCUCUCAUCUCUAAACCCUAGCUUUUGCUCUGUCUAUGAAUAAUGAAUAAUGAUCAAGGGGUGCCUCCUCCAGGGGCCAGGGGGUCUGGUUUUAUAGUCCCCUCAAGUGAAUCUGGGCCGUCGGAUCAAACCGACAUUGAUUGAACGGUUAUUCUUGAUCCUUUAGGUCGGUGGAGCAUAAUCCGCGAGAUUGAGCGUGAUUGGCCACAGGAGGUGGGCGGGCGCCCAGUAGGACAGGGCAGGCGCCCUGUCUCUGGCCCCGUUUCACCUCCGCUUCGGUCUCGUGGCUUCUGGAGUCUUCUAGAUGUAAGAUAAUUGCGCAGCACGUUAAUAUCUUUACGUAAUCCCGAUAUGUGGGCCUUUCUUCCGUAUUUCCUGAUAACCCCCUGCAGAAAUAGACAAACACCAAAACUCGUGGAAUUCUGUCAGAUAAAACCCUAAGUCUUGAUGUUGAUUUCAUUUGGAUCCUUUUCUUUGUUUAUUUGAUAGUUAAAUUUGAUACUUAAGGACCGUCAACAAACUCCCCCAAGCUUACCUCUUGCUCGUCCCUGAGCAAGGAUAGACUCAGCAAUGGAUCAGAAGUUGUUGCAAUAUCUUAAAAAUUUAACGGUACACAUGCUUUUAAAUAAGAUCUCAUCUCUGAGUUAGAGUAAACUGUCAAGAACUAAAACUUACUUACUUUACCUUUCACCAUGGGACUUGUAACUGUCACUUCUGUCUUGAGUAGUUAAAAGAUAGAACAGUCUAGCCAAGUGCCAUGUCUCUUAUUCUUGAUCAGCUAUAGCUCUGGAGUUUUUUGUAGAUUUUCAAAUAAAACUCAGAGAUUCCUUGUAUGACUCUCUAAAUCUCUCUUUUGUGGUAUUUCUGGAUCCUUACCAAGGCAGUGAUGGUAUAUGCCUUCUCUCAAGAUAUAUGGUAUUUGUGGUAUAAGGCAUAGUGACAUUGUCUUCUCUCUCACCCUACUCUAAUAAGGCUUUAAUAUCUGGAGCUUAUAGGUGGGAGAUAAAGUAUACAUACUUACAAGACAUUUAUUGUGUAGUCAAACCAUGGAUCCAAAGAAACAAAUCAAUAAGCCAAAUCAAGAUGUGCAUGUGUGGCGAAUGAAUGGUGUAUGGUGAUGAUGGUGAUAACAAUGGUGAAAGUCUAAUUCUACUUUUGCUCUUUUGAGGAGAUACAUACCUUCCUUGCUUUUUGAAACUUUAUGAGGAGAAUGAGAUCCUCUUCUUUUUCUUUCCUCUCAGGUGGGUAUCUUGUACCCCUAAUUCUACUGUCGGACACUUGUCCAUUUUUACCUCUCGUCUCACUUUUUCUUUCUUUCGAGGUUCCGGGCACUUGCCCCUUUUUAUUUCCUCGUUUAUUAUUAUUUUUUUCUUUUCUUUUCUUAUCUUUUCUUUUUUUUCAGAGCACUCAUCUCCUGAAAUAAUGUAGCAAGUGGUAGUAACCUAAAUAACUGGAGCAUUUAUUUCACAGGGAAUAACAGGGAUAGGAAAAUGUUUUUGGCUAUUCUCUCCCGGAUUAGGAGUAGAAUGAUUUUGGGUGAAACUGGAGAUGGAAAUGGAUGGAUAUAUGUGAAUGGUACUUCCGGAGUAGAAGUAGCAUAUAUGAGUGAACGUGCAAGUGAAUCUUGAUUUAACCACAUGACAAGCUCCUAUGGGUCUACACAGCUUGACCACACUCAAUGCUCAUAAGCAGUAAAUAAUAAAUGUGUGGCUCAAAGUCUAGCAAGCAUGUAUAUAUGGCUGUGGUAGGAAUUUAAACUUUCAUCAUACAAGAACUCAUCAUGCAACAUUUUAAAGAUUUUUCAAAGAUAAAAUUCUCCAAAAUUCUAGCAUCUCUAGGAAUAGAUAAACAGCAGCUCAACCUUCCCAUAUCAUAUCCGUUAACAACUUAGAUUUCACAUCAAGUUUUCAUCCCACAAGUUUAGAUCUAGAGCAAGCUUUAAAUUAUAACAGUUAUGUCUAAACUUGAGAGAGAACUUCAAAUUUGCAAAUUAGGCAGAGCAACUAUUCAUCAUAUCCAUGCUAGAGUUUUAUUAUUAAGAUUCAGAUUAGCAUAGCCACUUUAUUUAUUUAUUAAACACACUAAGCAAAAGAUAUAUAUAUAAGCACAAAAUCUUUAUUUGGUUUUUCAUAGUUUAUGUAUUUUAAUAUUCUAAUAUAAUAUAAGUAUAAAGAUAGGUAGAAAUACUUAGCGAGAUAAAUGGGGGUGCUCUCCCCCAAGCUGAAUUUUGACGUAAUUUCUCUUGAUGUAGCUAGCAGGUGGCAGAGGUGUAUUUGAAAGUCAGCAGCAUUCUGACAGCGAUUAGAAUGUCCUCCGUCUGCUAGUCUUCUUGAUUCUUAAAUUCUGUGGAGCUCAAAUAGACAAUAAAGCUUGUGGAACUAAUUAAGUGUUAGCAUAAAUAUCUAGCCUUCAUCACGUUGAGCUUCCUCAAUAAAUAUUACUCCCUGUUUGUAUAUUUUUAUUUUAUAAAGUAGAAAAGAAAUAUUUAUUUUAUUGUUAUGCCACCACAGUGAAGGUACUUAUGGGUUUUAUGCCACUCGUAUACUCACAUGGGGCUUAGUAUUGUUGAUGCAAAACUGAUCUGCAAACACAAAGGGCUAAUACCCGAUUCAAACGUUAAGGCGUGCCAGCCGAUUUGACCUUGCUAUCGGCAAAGGUUAUAACUCGAAUACUUUAGUCCUGACAACAGCGAUGCGCCCGGAUGUCACGGCUAAGAGGUACUCACGCGGAACUUGAGAACACGCCGAGCUUAAGUCGACGAAUUCCUAAGAACUCGUAGUAAAAGGAAAAAAAGUAUGACGAAGUCGUCGAAAAGUAGAUGCUAGAAUAUGAGUAAAAACGUGUGUUUGAUUGAUUUCUUGAUUCUCUGAUUACAAGGUCCUAGGGUUUAUAUUUAUACCCUGCUCAAAGAGCUACGACCAGACACGAUUAGAAUUCGAAUUCCAAAUUACACGGAAUCCGUAUACAAAACGAUGCAAAUAACUAAGGAAAUAAUAAAACUACCGUUCGUGACAAACCGAAACUCCUCCACAUGACAACUGGCAGCUUCCGGACUCCUCCUUCGCGCCAUCGGCAAUCCCCUUGCCAUAGUCAUCGGCAGACCUUUUUAUCCAGUCAUCGGCACCAUAUUACUGCCUGUGGACUUAGUCACAUUCAACCUCUCCCUCAUCGGCAACCAUCCUCAUCAGCAACCCGCAUCGUACUGCCACCCUAUCCUGCCAUCCUGGACACGUGCCCAAAAAUGGUGUCAACACAUGCCCCCCAGUUUCGGAGUAUAAAACUAUUAAUGCUCCGAAAUUCUCUGCAGUAAUGAUGCCUUUUCCGCAAUUAAUGCUCCUAAUCUGGUAACCGACAACCUCAAUCUGGAUAACUCUGAUCCUAAUCCUCCGCAGAUUCCUCGAAAUCCCCAACUUCCUAAACGGGCAUCUUUCUUGGUCGUACAUCGGCAACAAUACCGUUACAAAGACCUGCCGAUGCUCUGCCCAGGAUAUUCGCAAAAACGGUUACCUCCCCUCUAUCCGCCCAUCGGCAAGAUGACCGUUAUAGAAUAUCGCCGAUGGACCGACCAGGAGAUCUCGCACAGUAAAAUAUCUUUAGAUAAUGACCGCUUCCUGUCAAAUCACCUACACAAUCCCUGGAUUACCGUGCGAACAGUUACCAUAUCCACCUGAGUACCCUCGGGCUUCUCGGAUGCGGCAAAGAAAUAAGUCGGAUUUGCCCUUGCCCAUCUUGUCCUAUAAAUAGUUCCUUCUUGGGUACUCCUCCCCCAUUACACCAUUCCACUAUCCAACUUUGCUUUUCCAGCGGCGGCGCCAUUUACAACCCUCAAGAUCUCCAACAAGCACUCCUCUUCAUCAACUCCGGUGCUCUCCAACGUCCUCUUCACGACAAGAUGGCCAUUGGCUUCGUCGUCCCUGAGGUCAGACUUCCAUCUCACUUCCUGUACUUUUUCUCGCAUUCCUGUUCAUCUGUGAUUCAUCCUACUGAAUAUCUUCCUUUUUCUUUUCCUUUGUAUUUUUAUUCCCCAAAACACUAGGAAUUGUACAACAAAAUUGUCAUCCCUACCGAUCAACCACACCUUCAGUGCCUCGGCCCUCUAGGGAAUCCAGAUCCAACCGACUUUAUCAAUGCAGAAACCAACAUGAUCCCCUUUAGAGCCGAAAACUUUUCUUUAGAUCUGUGGAAAGACACCUUUCGCUCUUGGCCCAGCCCUACUGUAGGGUGGAAAGAUUGGUUCUUGAGGGUCAGCAAUUCUUAUGAAGUCCAGUGGGGUGAGAGGAAGCUAGCUCAAUGCAUUAGGCUAUCCAUUGCCGAUAUGCACAGGAACGAGUCGCUGCUGAUAGCUGCAUCCUACUUUUGGUCAGACACUCUCAAUGCUUUUGUUUUUGGCCACGGCCCUGCUUCUCCUACCCUUGCCGAUGUAGCCAUGCUCACUGGGCUAGAUAUAUCUUCUGCCGAUAGCACCCAUUUUUUUGAUACUGCUCCCAGUGCCAAAGUGGAGACUCGCGCUAUCGGCGGUUGGUCAGGGUACAUCCAGAAGUACCGCGGGAGGGGGCCUGUCACCAUAAAGGAGCAAACCACCUUUCUGAACAUGUGGCUGGACAAGUUUGUAUUCUGUGGUCGAUCGGCAGGACCAACUUCCGUCUAUCUAUCGGCAGCAGAAAGACUGGCCAGUGGUGGCCAAUUUCCUCUCGGCCGAUAUUUGCUCAGCGCUGUUUACCACCUUCUUCAUCAGGUAGCCCAGAAACUCCUGCUUGGCCAAUCCAUCGGCAACUUGGGAGGCCCCUGGUGGUUUAUUAAUAUGUGGCUCAAUCUGCACCUGCAUAAGCGCCUCGAUUUCAACUUGUUCUCACAGCACUUCCCAAGAGAUAUAGCCGAGAAUCAUGUGUUGGGUGAAGAGGAAUCGGCAACGCGUGCCCCCUUGAACUUUGGCGAAGCCGUUAUAGUCUUACCCGGUUCAGGGAACAAUCCGGAUCAGAUCGGCCGAUUCUUCGAGAUUCUGUAUGAGGGUCUGGCCAGAGAUGAACGACCAUGGCUGGCUUAUGACGACCCAGACAGUAUGCUUCCUCUGACCUUCAAUCCAUUUGAUGAAGCUCUCGACAGGGACAAUGAGGUGAUGAUGGCAAUUGUGACUCCCAGAGCCAUACCAGUGAAUUUCUUCGGUAGCACAAAAACCUCUCCCCAAACCUAUGAAUUUUAUAAUCCAUCGGCAUUAGCUCGCCAACUAGCUUUCGGCCAAUUGCCGAUUGCACUUCCUUAUGCCGAUGUAAUAAAGCCCAGAGAACCCGUCGCCAACCUUCUCGAGUGGACUCGAGUAGCCCAGCUACCACCAAAUGCCGAUACAGAUGUAGAUCUGUCAGAAUGGGUCCCAGCUGCCUUUAUCACUCAGGCAUACAAGCUAUGGUGGGCAGAAUGGAAAGAGAAUCUAUUCUGCAGAUCGGCCCUCUCAUACCGCGGUAUGAUCGACCCCGAAUACGAAGUCCCUGAUGACACUGUAAGUAUUUUAAACCGAUGUUUCAUUUUCCAAUACUAUUUCCAUCGGUAACUUACCCCUGUAUUCCUUUUGCAGAUUGACAACACCCCCCCAUCGGUUAGCAGGAGUGGCAAGCCGAUCGACUUGUUCCCAUCAGGCCCGAUCUCCUCAAUCGGCCAUAAUGCUCCCACUCUGGCUUCCAUCGUGCACCGGGGUGCGCGCCUCAAGAAAGUUACCACCAGGAAGACUCAGACAUCGCCAACGGUAGCUGCUUCCACUCUGGCGCAAGCUUUCAGGGCAAUUUGUCAAACCCUUUUCAUUUAUGCUAACUAUCUUUGUAUCGGCUAUCUAUGCUCAUAAACUCCUUUUUGUUGUUGCAGCAAACUGGUGCAUCGGCAAAAGCCAAACGCCAAGGUACCGAUGCCCCCCAGUCCAGCCAGCCAAAGAGGAAGGGCACCCAAGGUGCUAAGGCUGGAACAAAGCGCCAGAAAGUGGCAACUCCUCCUCCUCCUCUGGUGUCUCCAAUCCCGGUGAAAUCUUCCCCUUCUUCUCCAGAAGUCCAGACACAGCAAGCACCAUCUCCCUAACCAAUACAGGAAGCACCACAGAUGGAAGAACCCCAGCAGGAAGAACCUCAAACGGAAGGUACAUCAGCUGACGUAGGUGAACAAACAACUGGCCUGGCGGGUCCAGUUAUAUCAUUGGCGGUUUCCCCAAUUCAGACAACUGUUGUUCCUCCUUCGGGUAACAUAUCUCAACAAUACUUCCGCCAAUAAACUUAUUCUCAUUUAGUCUCAUAACCCUUCCUGUCUUCUUUCAGGCGAUAUCGUUCCAUCGGCAACAUCUGCCGAUCAACCUGUAGUUCCAUCAGUAUCUCUGAGUCAAAGGCAAGAAAUUGCCCUGAAACAAGUAAGUCAUCCAACUUUUCCAUCAGCAUCGUCUGCCGAAGCUUUGACCAUAACAAAUGACUUAUUUCAUUCUCAUUUUCAGGAACAAGAUUCUCCCGAUAGCUUAUUCUCCUUCGCCAUUGAUAUCUUCGAGGAAGAAAGCGAGGAAGCAAGCUCCUCUCAGGCAGUUGGAACUGUAUCGGCAGAAACCAGAGCUAAGCUGGAAGAGCUAUCGGCCAUACUUCAUCAAGACACUGCUCAACUGGUCAACGAUUCCGACCCAGCCAAGGCCUUGUUCAAAACCCUUAGAGGACAAAUUCCUGCCGAUGCUGAAGAAACGCUCUUCCAUGCUGCAUACCUAGAAAGCCGCCAGCUAUAGUACCAGAGAGCUACUCGACGUCUUGCCGAUAGAGCCGCUCAAAUCCAGCUCUCUGAGGAGAUGAUGAAAGAAAAACUCUUAGCCGAUGAGAAACAUAAGAACAUCGGCACCUUAAAGUCCUCAGGUGAUGCACUGAAGCAGAGAGUAUCUGAUCUAUCAGCAAAAAGAGAAGCUCUACUGGCCGAACUCAAGCAAGUAGAGGAUGCUCUGUCCCAAGCCCAGCAAGAAGAGAGUCAACUGCCGGAGACCAUCAAGCACCUCGAACAAGAACGAAACGUCCACGGUCGCAAGGCGCUGCAGUUGAAGAGGAAGCUGAAGCCGGUAGAAGGUUCUGCCGAUGAUGAUAUCAAAGAGAUAGAGACAGCCAAUCAGAUCCGGCUGCGCGCCAUAUCAGCAAUCCAAGCGCUGCUGAAUAUCUGAAGCUUUCAUCGGCAACACACCUUUGUUUUCCCGCUUUUAGCUCUUAGUCUAGCCGAUAAGACUGUUAUCGGCAUCUUUUGAAACAUCAAGUCUGCCCCCAAACAUUUAAAUCCAGCCGACAGGAUUGUUAUCGGCACUUAAACUUUUAUGCAUCGACCCAAAUGCUGGGGUAGUACUUCUUUAGAUACUUGCCAUUUAAUGCUCUGGGAAAUUCAAUUCCUUCGAGGGUUUCUAGAAUGUAGGCGUUACCAGGAGCCGAUCGACUUAUCCGAUAAGGACCCUCCCAAUUAGGAGACCACUUCCCAAACUUCGAACUUUUGGUCCCGACUGGCAAAAUCAACUUCCAUACCAAAUCCCCAUCGGUAAACUCCUUAGCCUUUACUUUCUUAUCAUACCAUCUAGCAAUUCUCUUCUUAUUUUCUUCUAUACUCAUUAAAGCCUUUAACCGAUGCCCUGCUAAAUCAUCUAACUCAUCGGUCAUCAAAGUGGCAUAAUCAUCGGCAGCCAAUUGAUCUUGAAAAGAUAAUCGCCUAGAUCCAGCCUUAAUCUCCCAAGGCAACACUGCAUCAUGUCCAUAUACCAAUUGAUAGGGUGACACCUUGGUUGAUCCAUGACAAGCCAUCCGAUAAGACCAUAGUGCUUCAUUUAGCAAUGUAUGCCACCGCCUAGGAUUUUCUUCAACCUUUCGUUUAAUAAGCUUGAUAAUUCCUUUGUUAGACGCUUCGGCCUGCCCAUUGGCUUGAGCAUAGUAAGGAGAAGAAUUCAACACUUUAAUUCCCAUACCGAUUGCGAAUUCAUCGAACUCCCCUGACGUGAAUAUGGUGCCCUGAUCGGUGGUAAUCGUUUGGGGAAUCCCAAAUCGGUAAAUAAUAUGCUCCUUCACAAAAUCAUUCAUAUUGGCCGAUGUGACUUUCUUCAAAGGAAUAGCUUUGACCCACUUAGUGAAAUAGUCAGUGGCAACUAGAAUGAACUUAUGCCCUUUGCUAGAUGGUGGAUAAAUCUGGCCGAUCAGAUCGAUGGCCCAUCCCCAGAACGGCCAAGGUUUUAUUAUAGGAUUCAUAGCCGAUGCGGGUGCUCUCUGGAUAUUACCGAACUUUUGACAACCUUGACAUCCCUUGAAAUAUUUAAAACAAUCUUCAAGUAUGGUUGGCCAAAAGUAUCCAUUCCUUCGAAUCAUCCACUUCAUCUUAAAAGCUGACUGAUGCGCUCCACACACUCCUUCAUGGAUUUCCCCCAUCAAACUUCUGGCUUCAUCAUCACCCAAGCAUCGGAGAAGAAUUCCGUCGAUAGUUCGAUAAUACAAUUCAUUUUCAAGGAGCACAUACUUGGUCGCUUGAAAUCGAACCCGUCUUUCAACUUUUUUGGAUGGAUCUUUUAGAUAAUCAAUAAUUUCCUUCCUCCAAUCACCGGCACUGACUGCCGAUGUUGCAUUAAUCAUUGGCUGAUAUCCCGAGGCAUGCUGGGCUAACCGAUUAGCGUCUUCAUUAUGCAAUCGGGGAACAUGAUCCAAUCUGAAGUCCUUGAAUUCCUUUAACAGUUGCAUACUUCUCUCGAAAUAGGUUAUGAGAACUUCACUUCGGCAUUCAUAGCUUCCGGCCAAUUGAUUUAUAACCAACAUAGAAUCUCCGAAUAUUUCAACAGCAUCAGCACGAACUUCUCUUAACAACUCCAAUCCCUUGAUCAGAGCUUGAUACUCAGCCUGAUUAUUUGUUGAUGUAGCAACAAUCGGCAAGGAAAACUCAUACUUCCUCCCCUUAGGAGAAACUAAUACAAUGCCGAUUCCUGCUCCCCGGUCACAGGUAGAUCCAUCAAAGAAGAGCGUCCAGGGUGCAAUUUCCAAGGUUUCCACUAGACCGCAAUGCUGAGUCACAAAAUCGGCCAUAAUCUGCCCUUUGACUGCCUUAGCCGAUUCGUAACGCAAAUCGAACUCCGACAGCGCUAAAAUCCAUUUGCCGAUCCUACCACUCAUAAUCGGCAUAGAUAGCAUGUAUCGGACCACGUCAUCUUUGCAAACAACAGCACAUUCGGCCGACAACAGGUAAUGUCUCAGCUUGAUACAUGAAAAAUAUAAGCAUAAGCACAGCUUCUCAAUGGCCGAAUACCUGGUUUCAGCAUCAAUCAAUCUCCUACUCAAAUAAUAAAUUACCCUCUCUUUCCCUUCAAAUUCUUGAACUAAAGCUGAACCGAUGACCGAUCCAUCAGUAGAUAAAUACAAUUUGAAGGGCUUCCCUUGUUGAGGUGGAACUAAAACUGAAGGAUUUACUAGAUACUUUUUGAUUUCAUCCAGAGCCAACUGCUGUUCUUCUCCCCAAACAAACUCUUGAUCGGCUUUCAAUUUAAGGAGAGGACUGAAAGCACGAAUCCUCCCAGAUAAAUUCGAUAUAAAUCUUCUGAUAAAAUUCACCUUGCCGAUCAAGGAUUGGAGCUCGGUUUUAUUGGUAGGGGCCACUAUUUUAUUGGUAGCAUCAAUAGAUCUUCGACUAAUUUCAAUACCCCUCUGAUGUACCAUGAAACCAAGAAACUGCCCUGCCGAUACGCCAAAUGCACACUUGUUGGGAUUCAUCUUCAAUCCAUGCUUCCUUGUGCACUCCAACACUUUUCGUAAAUCGGCAAGAUGCUUUGAGAAAUCUCCAGACUUAACCACCACAUCAUCAAUAUAAAUCUCUACGAGCUUGCCGAUGAACUCAUGAAAUAUGAAAUUCAUAGCCCUUUGAUAAGUAGCACCAGCAUUCUUUAACCCAAAAGUCAUGACUAUCCACUCAAAUAGUCCAACAUGACCAGGACACCUGAAUGCGGUUUUUGGAAUAUCCUCCUCUGCCAUGAAUAUUUGAUUGUAUCCUGCAUUACCAUCCAUGAAGCUGAUGACCCGAUGGCCAGCCGCAGCAUCAACCAGUAGAUCGGCGACAGGCAUUGGGUAUCCAUCCAUCGGCGUAGCUUUAUUGAGAUUCCUGAAAUCAAUGCACACCAGAAGCUUCCCGUUCUUCUUGUAAACCGGAACAACAUUGGAGAUCCAUUCGGCAUACCGACACUGCCGAAUAAACUUAGCUUCAAUAAGUUUAGUGAUUUCGGCCUUAAUAUCAGGUAGAAUGUUAGGAUUACAUCGGCGGGCUGGUUGCUGAUGUGGCCGAAAUCCAGACUUGAUGGGUAACCGAUGUUCAACAAUUGAUCGGUCUAAACCAGGCAUCUCUGUAUAAUCCCAAGCAAAGCAAUCUUUAUAUUCCUUUAACAAACUAGUUAACUGCCGUUUACACUCAGGAUCUAAUUUAGCACUAAUAAAAGUAGGCCUAGGCUUAUCACCACUACCUAUAUCUACUUCUACCAAAUCAUCGGCCGAUGUGAAUCCCUGGCCCAACUUUCCAUCAUCGGCGAAUCUAUCCAUUAAAAACCAUCGUCAGAACCGACUGCUUGGAUCGGUGGAAUUUCAUAAUCGGCAACUUUGAGAAAAUCUUUCUCCCAAACUUCUCCUGAAAUGCACCUAGUCCUUUCAUAAGUAUCCGCUUCUGCUGAUGCGAUAACAUAAGAUGAAUCCCCUGGGACGAUCUCAAUCUUGUCACCUACCCACUGAACCAAGCACUGAUGCAUUGUAGAUGGGACACAACAAUUAGCGUGAAUCCAAUCUCUCCCCAAUAAUAAAUUGUAAGCACCUUUUCCGCUGAUCACGAAAAAAGUUGUCGGCAAGGUUUUGCUGCCGAUGGUCAACUCUGCACAUAUCGCCCCCUUGACUGGAGACACGUUUCCUUCAAAGUCUUUGAGCAUCAUAUCGGUCUUGGUCAAAUCUUGAUCCCCUUUCCCAAGCUUCCGAUAUACUGCAUACGGCAUAAUAUUAAUAGCAGCUCCACCAUCAACUAGGAUCUUAGUCAUUGGCUGCCCAUCAACCCUUCCUUUGAGGAACAAAGCUUUAAGAUGCUGCCUCUCGUCAUCGGCAGGUUUCUCAAAGAUAGCCGUCAUCGGAUCCAGAGCCAACUGAGCUAUCUGAUCAGAAAAUUCCAACUCAUCGUCACUGGCUGGUGCAAGAAACUCUAUCGGCAACAUGAAGACCAUGUUGACGCCUGCUGAUGGACCUUCCCUCUUAGUGUCUGACGGCUGCCGACUUCCAGAGUUCUCUCCCUUGUUUAGCUCCUCUUGCCUUUCUCGUUGCAAUCUCCUUUUCUGUGUCUUGGUUAAUCCUUGAGGGCACCAUGGAGGAAGUGGCCUUUGCCUUACCGUCGGGCGUUGGUUCUCCCUUGACUCCAUGCGAUGCGUGUUAGCAUCCCUGCAAAAUAUGAACUCAUCGGGAACCCGCGCAUUAGCCAUCUCCUCGAGCUCUUCCUGGUUCCUGGGAAAAUACUGGACACGGUCACCGAGCCGAUCGCGGACGCUAAGCCUGCCCCCCAGCCGAUCAUGAACUGACGCCCUUCCUCUGAUUGGCCCAUUAAAUCGCCGUUCAUCAUCAUGAUAACGCCGAUCGUUCCUAUCGUACCGAUCAUAACCGUUGCAUUCAGGGCAGUCUCUGACAGUAGGAAGCUUGAUAUUUUCCUCCCAACAAUGGAUGAAGAAUGGGCAAUUCCAAUGAUCCCUGUGCCGAUUCCACUCCUGUCGGCGUCUUUCUUCUUCCCGUUGGUAAUCUUCCUGCUGGCGCCGAUACCGAUCUUCCCGUUGUUGCCAUCUCUCUCGAGGCCUUCUAUGAGUUAUGACGAUGCCAGAUCGAGGAAGCCUUCCUGAGCUAGUUCCUUCCUGGACCAAGCCUUUACUUCUUGCAUCGGCAGUAGUAACUUGAUGCUGAGGAUCUACCGAUGCACUCUUCUCAGUUGUCUCCGACGUUAAGACCUUAGCCUUCCCCUUAGCAUCCAACAUGUUUGUCGGGAAAGGAUGUUGGUCUAUCUUCAUCGGCUUCUGGGCUUUAGAACUGUCAAACUUGAUUCUCCCUGACUCUAUAGCCGAUUGCAGCUGCUGUCUGAAUACUUUGCACUCGUUGGUGUCAUGUGAAGUUGCAUUAUGCCACUUGCAAUAUCUCAUCCUCUUCAACUCUUCUGCCGACGGGAUCACGUGGUUAGGUGACAGUUUGAUUUGACCUUCCUGAAGUAGAAAGUCAAAUAUCCUAUCGGCCUUGGCGGUGUCAAAGGCAAACUUCUCUGGUUCCUUUUGCCCAAAAGGACAAGACAUCGGCUUCUUGUUUUUUACCCACUCUGCUAAACCGAUUACUGGUUCUUCAUCGGAAUCUGAGCUUGUUGCUUCAUCAACAAAUGACACUUUCUUAUUCCAUGCCCUCUUGGGCUCGAAGGGCUUGAUGUCUUGAUCAGAUAUCCUCUGCACCAAGUGACUUAAACUUUCGAACUCCUGAGAGGCAUACUUAUCCCUGAUAUGUGGCAACAAACCCUGGAAAGCCAAAUCGGCUAGCUGCCGAUCAUCCAGAACCAGGCUAUAGCAUUUAUUCUUGACCUCUCGUAUCCUCUGCACAAAUCCCUCAACCGACUCAUCAUUACGUUGCCUCAACUUGACCAAGUCGGUGAUCUUCUUCUCAUGAACCCCCGAGAAGAAGUAUCUGUGGAAUUGCUUCUCUAGAUCGGCCCAAGUAAUUACUGAGUUGGGAGGUAAUGAUAUGAACCAAGUAAAGGCCGAUCCAGACAAUGAUGAUGAAAAUAGACGAACCCUCAAUUCGUCCCUGUUACCAGCCUCUCCACAUUGAAUAAUGAACCUAUUGACAUGCUCCAUAGUUGACGUGUCGUCUUGUCCGGAAAACUUUGUAAAAUCCGGUACCUUGUACCGAUGUGGAAGCGGGAUCAAAUCAUACGCUGGAGGAUACGGUGUCUGAUAAGAAUAAGUGUUGACUUUGGGUUUUAUCCCAAAUUGUUCCCUCAUUACUUCAGCAAUCUUAUCGGCCCAAUACGCAUCGGCAUCUUGCCGAUGAGGCGGCUGCGGAUCUGGCACUUGGUGGCGAACCUCCACGUGUCUGUUUGGGACGUGACCUGCAUGGAACAUUGUAUUGGUCACCUGUCCUCCAAUCUGCGGACUACCAAACUGCUGUCCACCGAUUGGCUGUCCUCCGAGUUGCUGCCCAAAAUUUAUUGGCUGGUUGGGAAUCCCCUGACCUUGGAACCCGGGAUAGACCUGCCCUUGCUGGAACCCUGUAGUCUGAUAACCCUGCUGGGGCGAUUGUGGAAAGGCUUGCUGUCCAAGCCAUCCAUUAUUAGCGUUCAUCGGCAUAGGUGCUGCCGAUGAUUGGUAAUUGGGUACCGUCGUUGAAUUGACAUACCCCGACUGGGCCAUAGGCCUCUGUUGCAUCAGCAUUGACUCUGCCGAUGCGUUGGGCAUCUGGAACAUUGAAUCUUGAGGAUUUCCAAUGUAAGGCCUUGCAGUAGUAGUUGUGGUAUACCGAGGACUCUGGUUCACCGGCACAUUGGAAGGUGCCGAUGUCAUAGGAGUUUUGCCCCUCAUGUCAGUUAUCUGUGAUGUUCCCGGCGUCAACUCUGGAGGCAUACCAUAACCCCACCAGUUGGGAGGAAGCGUUAACCCUGACAUUGCCGAUGCCAACAUAUCUGUUGUCAGUUUAUGCUGCCCAACUGAAAUUUGCGGGUUGGUUGCCAUCGGCAUAGAUAGUGCACCAGUAGUCCCCAAUGUACUUGGAGGGACGGCAGACUGUGCACUUGCAUUCGUCAAGGCAGCCGAUGGAGCCGUGACCUCUGGCGCCGUGGGUUGAUGAUGGGAGGGGCCCACAUAAUCUGGCGGGAUUUGUCCUUCCUUGAAGGUUCUUGCCACGGCGUUGAAAAUCGUAUUAGACAGUACACCAGCUUGGUUAAUCAACGCUCGAUUGAUGGCAUUGUCAACCAUAUCUUGAAGCUUGCCAGGAUUGGCGUCAAAGGUGACCUGCCGUGGUGCCGGUAGUGCAUCUUUCUGGACCACUUCGCCGCUCUUGUUUAUGCUGAAAGACCUCAGGCAUUGCUGCUUGAACUCUUCCAUGGCUUGGGCAAUAGCUUGCUUCUGCUCAUCCUUGAGGUUGGCCUCGGUCACGGGGAUGACGUUGUCUUGAUCGAGGUCAGAGAUCGACAUGUUGAUCUUGAUCUUGAAUCUGUCCCACCGGGCGUGCCAAAAGAUGUGUUGAUGCAAAACUGAUCUGCAAACACAAAGGGCUAAUACCCGAUUCAAACGUUAAGGCGUGCCAGCCGAUUUGACCUUGCUAUCGGCAAAGGUGAUAACUCGAAUACUUUAGUCCUGACAACAGCGAUGCGCCCGGAUGUCACGGCUAAGAGGUACUCACGCGGAACUCGAGAACACGCCGAGCUUAAGUCGACGAAUUCCUAAGAACUCAUAGUAAAAGGAAAAAAAGUAUGACGAAGUCGUCGAAAAGUAGAUGCUAGAAUAUGAGUAAAAACGUGUGUUUGAUUGAUUUCUUGAUUCUCUGAUUACAAGGUCCUAGGGUUUAUAUUUAUACCCUGCUCAAAGAGCUACGACCAGACAUGAUUAGAAUUCGAAUUCCAAAUUACAUGGAAUCCGUAUACAAAACGAUGCAAAUAACUAAGGAAAUAAUAAAACUACCCUUCGUGACAAACGGAAACUCCUCCACAUGACAACUGGCAGCUUCCGGACUCCUCCUUCGCGCCAUCGGCAAUCCCCUUGCCAUAGUCAUCGGCAGACCUUUUUAUCCAGUCAUCGGCACCAUAUUACUGCCUGUGGACUUAGUCACAUUCAACCUCUCCCUCAUCGGCAACCAUCCUCAUCAGCAACCCGCAUCGUACUGCCACCCUAUCCUGCCAUCCUGGACACGUGCCCAAAAAUGGUGUCAACAAGUAUUUUUUUAACAUUUUUAUUUUCUUUUCAAGAUAGCAUGAUUAACUAAUAAUCUAUUUAAGGAAAGUAAAUAAUUAAAUGGAAAGGGGGAUGCAGAAAGGAUAAAUAUGGAUAACUACCAAUCUUACCUUUCGGCGAGGGUUCAAUGUUUUAAGUCUUCUUGUCAAGACUUCUCAUCGUGUUCAUUCUUCAGGUGCGUCAUUUGAUUCAGGUGCGGACCUUGACGUCUGCACCUUUUAAUACGGUGUCACCCAUGUUCUUCGUUUGCCCAGCAGUUCGAAGUGCGGCGUUAGCAGUAUCUUGCUCAGUGUUUUUGUGCUUGUAGUGUACCUGCUUAUAGAGACAAGGCAGAGAUCAAGUGCAUGGGCCCUGUUGGUGGAAAACACCAACAGAACCAAAAGUGUAUUUGUUCUUUUCUAACCUUAAGCAUAGUGAGCAAGACAAAGUUGAUGGAUGAUAAGUUCAUGAGUGUAGCACUUAUAACAUUUGUCAGAUCAGAUCGCUCAACCUUAUGGAAAGAUAAUCUAUUUAUGUAUAUGUCUUUUUCUUUAUAUCUCUCAAUGAUUGAAUGUGUAACAUUUUAGCUCAUAUGAUUAGGAGUGUGGGAUCACGGAGGUAGUACUAAGAACAAGGAUUAAAGGACUAAACAUGUUGAAUCAGUUGGGUUGGUUAAUCUAGAGUUGUAAAUCAUACACGUUUGUCUCUUUUAUUUAUAUGAACGCCAGAACCAAGGAGAAGCUUAUAAAAGUGAUAGUCAAGUACCUUAAAAUGUUACCUUGCUCGAAGAGUGAUGGUACAGUAUCAUCUUGUGAAAGCUUUCCUUUCUUAGCGGUUGUGCGUCGUGUUUGUGGCACCCUCCAUGGAUCAUCUCUCUAUGAUGAAUGAGCUAUGUCCUUCUUGUGCAAAUUGUUAAACUUCAUGUGUUACUCUCUUCGUCUCUGAUGUGAGUUUAUCUCAGGACUUCCCAAAUCGAUAUUGAAAGUUUUUCUGCAGGGGUUAGUCCGACAAAAUAUACCAAUAUCUACUCAAGCAGUUUUUUUUAGUUCAAUAACCAAACUAGACUCCAUGUCUAAUCAGAUUAAGGAAGGCUAUUUAACCUAAGCACCAUGCUUAAUUUAAAUGCCAAUGGAAGUAUGGCGAGUACUUCCAAAC